rnacentral:rRNA from 1 species
CAGACUCCUACGGGAGGCAGCAGUGGGGAAUUUUGGACAAUGGGCGCAAGCCUGAUCCAGCUAUUCCGCGUGUGGGAUGAAGGCCCUCGGGUUGUAAACCACUUUUGUAGAGAACGAAAAGACACCUUCGAAUAAAGGGUGUUGCUGACGGUACUCUAAGAAUAAGCACCGGCUAACUACGUGCCAGCAGCCGCGGUAAUACGUAGGGUGCGAGCGUUAAUCGGAAUUACUGGGCGUAAAGGGUGCGCAGGCGGUUGAGUAAGACAGAUGUGAAAUCCCCGAGCUUAACUCGGGAAUGGCAUAUGUGACUGCUCGACUAGAGUGUGUCAGAGGGAGGUGGAAUUCCACGUGUAGCAGUGAAAUGCGUAGAUAUGUGGAAGAACACCGAUGGCGAAGGCAGCCUCCUGGGACAUAACUGACGCUCAGGCACGAAAGCGUGGGGAGCAAACAGGAUUAGAUACCCUGGUAGUCCACGCCCUAAACGAUA